GGCUGAUGGAGGAAGAGGCUGACGGGUACCAAUGGCGGCGACUUUUCCCUCAUAUAUCCCCUUCUGAAGCAUUGUGUCAUGAUUUUCCUUAACCGAGGGAUCCGCCACGUCUUCCUGCACAGCCUGUGCAAAAGAAUACCACACGAGACUUCAAGAUCAAGACUGAGAUGAGGUUAAGAAAGAGAUGGACAGCACUGAGGAGUUAAAGUGGAUGAGACUGAGGUUACCAUCACAGCUCCUUGUCCUGCCCUGAGAGAUCAAGACAGAGAUGAGGUUAAGGAAUAGUAGAACGCUGAAGGUUUAGAGUGAACAAGACAGAGGUUACCAUCACAGCUCCUCCUUGUCCUGGCCUGAGAGUUUGACCACACAGCAGGACACUUGGUCUGGGGUUCUGGCACCAUGCAAGAAAUAUUAGUCAAGCAAUCCUUCAGUCAGUGCUUGUACUGGAGGGAAGGUUUAAAGGAUAUAAGUAUUCACUGUUUUUCUUAUAUAUUUCUAUGAUAAUUUUAUACUACUCCAGAGCUUAGUGUCUUAUGUAGUCAAGCAAUUCAAUAAUGAACUCUUGUACUGGAGGGAAGGUUAAGGAAGAGAAGUAUAUUUAUUUUCUUAUUCUUAUCUUAAUUCCAUACAUAACCCCAUAUCUUAGUGUCUUGUAUAGUCUUUUCAUUAUCAAGAAGGAAUCACCAUAAUUUUUACUGACCUUUUUCUUUCUUUAUCCAUCAAGUCGCUAUAUAUUCAGAGACUUCUUGUGACAGAGUAUUAUCCAUCCCCUGAUCUUGAUGAACAUUGACAUCCCUACCAUCACACUGCCUUUUAUUAUGGCCUCUCUGGUGAAGUGUUGAAAGAUUUGAACUUCUGACACCUCUUGAGAUUUUUUGUUAAUUCAGAAAAGGAGUCCGUUCAAGGGCAAAUAAAUAGAGAAAAUAAAACACCCCACUGACACCAUUCAUAGCCAGAUCCUUAUCCAAAAUAUUAUCAUUAGCCUCAGUCUUGAGUACAGUGAUUUUCCUCAUAACUUGGGUUCUCAAUUAUCUUUAUAUUUAUCCACCUUAUUUUUAUCCAUCUUGGCCCUCGUUUCUGUUCUUUUAAUGUCUUUCAGAAGCGGCGAGAAAGAGACAGCAGCAGGAAGAGGAGGGCAGGGGAUGUGUGAGGGUGACAGCAGGGCAAGAAGACAGCAAAGAGCCUAUGUAAUGGUAAGGUUCCAUGUAUAAGUCCCCUGUUGGGUGUGUCUGCCAAUCUGUACACAGCAUUCCAAUUAGUACUCAUUAGAUCAAGGCAGUAGGAUGGCAAGGGUUCCUAGUGAGGGUGGAAUUGCAUGAAGAAGUCUCCUGUUGGGUGUGUCUGCCAAUCUGUACACAGCAUUCCAAUUCAUACUCAUUGGAUCAAGGCAGUAGGGUGGCAAGGGUUCCUAGUGAGGGUGGAAUUGCAUGAAGAAAUCUCCUGUUGUGUGUGUCUGCCAAUCUGUACACAGCAUUCCAAUUAGUACUCAUUAGAUCAAGGCAGUAGGGUGGCAAGGGUUCCUAGUGAGGGUGGAAUUGCAUGAAGAAGUCUCCUGUUGGGUGUGUCUGCCAAUCUGUACACAGCAUUCCAUUUAGUACUCAUUAAGAUACAAGGGAACAAGUACUCUGGAAAACCUACGAAGUAAAUAUUUAAAGUCAGUCUGAUAUUUAAACAUUUUGAUAAUAGUAUGCCUUUUCUCGGUGUUCAGAUUUUGCCUUAGAGAAGAUGGAGGAAGUUAUUAAGUUUAUACCUUGUACCUUGGGAUGGUUUAUGUAAGUCUAGAGGCAUUAUUAUUGUAAGAGGCAAAUCAAGUAGAGAAAGAGGUAGAUUUUUAUUUAUUAUUAUUAUUUUUCUUACAGCAAAGGAGACAGUUCAAGGGCUAAAAAAAAAAAAAAAAAAGAAAAAAAAAAAAGACCGCUGCUUACUGCUCCUGAAUAGAGGUCAAAGGAGUGGCCAAAAAGAGAGGUCAAUUUCGGGAGGAGAGGCGUCCUGAUAUUUUUCUGGGUGAAUAUUAAUGGAACGGUGUGAGGGACAGGGCAUCAGGAAUAUAUAUUUUUUCCUUAGUGAGUAUAUAAUAGAAUUGUGCGAGGCAACAGCUUGUCGGAGAUAUAAAUGGAUAGAUAGAUAGAUAAACUUUUCCCCUAGUGAGUAAUAAUAGAAUGAUGUGAGGGGAAGGGCAUUGGAGAUAUAGAUUGAUCGAUAAUUUCCCUUAGUAAAUAAUGAUGAAAUGGUGUGAGGGAAACAGUGUGUCAGAGAUAUAGAUUUAUAGAUAAAUUUAGGCCAUCAGAGACAUAGACCAAUAUAAAUUUUUUCCUCAAUAUAAGGGAAUGACGUGUAUGAAUUGGCACAUCAGUAGAGUAGAGAACCACCAGUAUAUUUCACCUUCUGUAACCAGUAUAUCCCCACCACUACCAAGUCAAGCCUCUCAUUUUUUUUACUCUGCAACAUUCUUCCCCACUAUACUACAUUCCCUAAGCCUUAUCUUCCCUUCUAUGACUCCUCCACCACCCUGCCAGCCCUCCCAUCUCACAAGUGCAGUAGGGCAGUGUUUGUUUCAGGGCCAAGACUUGCAAGGGAGCACAGGUGGAGGUGUUGGUCUGGAUAAGCUGACAGGCCAUUGUUACUCUUGAUGCCUGGCUGAGUGUGUUAAUGUUCUGUUAGGGAGGAGAGGAAAGUCACAGUGAUGGAGUUACCCAGUGAAGAUCUUGUACUGAUGUGGGGAAGCAAGUGUUGAGUGAAUGCUAGUAAGGACAUGAUGUUUUUAAAUGUAUAUACGAGGUGUUCAGAAUCAAAGGAGGAUCCACACCUUUGUUACGGUUUUGGGUUAUGGGUAGUGUCAUACAGGUGUUACCCUCCUCUAUGAAACAGUACAGGUAGCCAAGGGAAAAUGGACCAUAUGGAGAGUGUACUGAGGGAUCAAAACAGACCGACAAAACAAUAAAAACAAAAGUAAGGAAAAAUUCAGUAAUCAUCUCGAAACUCACUAUUGCCGCGGAUGUCCCCCUUGGUUCUAGACACCUCAUACUCUUGGCGCGGAUAUCCCCCUUGGUUCUAGACGCCUCAUAUAGUGCGUUAUAACAGUACACCGGGCACCCAACCUAGCAAGACAGUAAUGAUGAAGAAUACUGCCACAUCUGUUCCUUUUGCUUGCUUGUGUCAGUGCAGUAGGUCAGUUAUCAGUCUUUGGAGUGGUGUCACGUCCUCCUGGUCAUAGCCAACACACACCCUUAACUCGGUAGCUGCGGGGAUCAUGUUUCUUAAUGGUCCCUCUAAGUGAGAAAAAUUCAUCACUCACGCAAACCAUUUCAUGAGGUAUAUCAACGCAUUUGUGAUCAGUUUAUGCAUCUCUUUUGGGGGGUUUAUAUCAUCACAAAAAUUUGGCCCGUCGCUGGUACACGGUAAAGCCACAAAUUUGGCCCGUCGCUGCUACUGGGUUAAUGCAUUUGUAGCCUGUGUUGUGAGUGGUUGUAGUUGUCUUGUUGGUCAAUGCCUCCUGUUUCUCUCUUCUGUCACAAGUUACCUCAGUGUUGGGGUCUGGACUACAGUUAGUAUGGGUAAGGAAAAGUCUUUGUAGCCUGACCCAUGGCACAGGUCACUGAACUACACAAGGAAAUCUUUGGGCAAGUUUGUGUUUGUAAUUGGGUGAAGUGUUUCAAAGAUGUCAGUGGUGUAAAUAUGUCUAUUCCCAAACCAUGUCCUGUUUUGCCCAAUAAGUCUUCCCCUAGGAGUCUGACAGUUCUCAUAAAAGAGCUUUAAGCUAUCAUCUCUCUUGAAAACUGUCAGACACUUCAGGGGAGACUUUGGUCUUAUGAGGACAUGUUUUGGGUGUCGGCAUACUCACAUCACUGCAUGUCCGAUAUGCCUCACCCAGCUCCACACAGAACAAUAAAAAACACCAACUUGUUGCAUGAUUUCCUUGUGUAGUCCAAUACUUAUUCUUACUCAUAAUUGUAGUCCAGACUCCAAUGCCAGAACAACUUGUGAUGGACGGUAGAGAGGGAGAGGAGGCACUGACCAACAAGACUUAUUCACUCUCAACGCAACCCACAAGAGCACUGAGGGUGCGAGUUGGCUGUGCGCCAGAGGACGUGACACCACCCCAAUGACUGAUAACCGACACGAUGCACAGGGGCAAGGAAAUAAAAGGAACAGAUAUGGCCUUACUUUCGUCAUUACUGUCUCGCUAUGUUGUAUGUCUGCCUUACUUCUGUGACAUACUAUACAGCCUUUAACUACCAUUACUACAUGUCUUUUCUCCAGUAAUAUGGGCAGGGAAUAUAAUGAAAGCUGUACAGGAGUUACCAUAUAACAAAGACUUAUGCAAACUCCCAGUCCAGACUACUAAAGGAAAGACAUGAAGGCUAGUACUGUAUAUACUCUUUAAUCAAUCUGUUCUUGUCCCCAUUUCUCUCAACAUGGCUUCCUCAGUACAGUACAGAAAUCCUAGGGUGAAUAAAAACUCCAUCACUAGUUUUCCUUUCCUCUCCUCACCAGCAGGAAGGAGUAACACUGGUCUGUCAGCCUCCCUAGACCAACACUCUCUUCUCUGGCGCUAACCUGCAAGUCUUGACUGGAAACGAAGAAUGUCCCGGGCACUUGUGAAAUGGGAGGGUUGGCUGGAGGGGACGGGGGAGCCAUAGAAGGAAAGAGAUUGCUGUAUAUAGAAGGAUGCAGGAUAGUGGGAAAGAAUGGGGAGAGUAUAUAUAUAGUAGUAGCAGAGAACAGAGAAAACUAGUCAAGCAAUGUAAGUAGGGAAUGAAAAUGCAGAAAUAACCCAGUUGCCUUUAUUUUCAAGUCUCACAUUCUUCUCUAUUCUCUCUCUCUCCCUCUUUUUUCUUGGUGUCUUCAAGUAACCUGUCUGGGAAUAACAUUUUGUCAUCUUCUCUCCCCCUUGUAUUGACUGUAGGGAGGGAACGGUGAUGUACCCACCUCCCUUAUGGUGUUCUCUCCUUCCUCCCCCUCACUGCUACACCACAAGGGGAGGCAGUGCAUGCUCCCCUCCACCUCAUAGCCAGCACAGAGAGGAUUGAGAAAUUUUGUAGACUGGAAAGGAAGCGGUCGUAUAUUAACCUAUUCUCUGUGUUUCUUGCUUACACUAGAAGACUAAGCUGUUUUUUUAAAGUUUGUCACAGAUUUGAGAGUAGGAUUGAUCAGCCAGUCUCCUCUCUUGCCUCACCACAUUGCAAGUUCUCUGUAGUUCCUCUGUGAUGUGUAAUAGUUUUUUUUGUUUCUUCAUCAGUGGACAGUAAGUAUAGUAUCAAAGUGGAUUAGGACUGUUGUAAAGAAAGUUCAAAUUAACUAAAAAUAAAAAGUUAAGCUAGUAAAAGUCAAAGGCAGGGCCAUUAACCCGGUAGCAGCAACGGGCCAAAUUUGUGCCAUGAUAUAAACCCCAAAAAAUAGAUGAUACAUAAACUGAUCACAAAUGCUUUGAUAUAUAUUAUGAAAUGGUUUGUAUGAGUGAUGAUAGUUUCUCAUUUUUCCGCUUAGAGGGACCAUUAAGAAACGUGAUCCCCGCUGCUACUGGGUUAAUGUUUAUACUAGUUUGUUUUGUGCUUAUCUCAUCAUGGAAUUACAAAGCUGCUGUUCAGAUAAAUAAUGAUGCGAGAUUCUCCUGUACAUUAUCACAUUUUAGAAAUCUCGGGAAGCCAAGUUAAUUUUUAUACAUAGCUGUAGGCAUUAGACAACAGCAACCCCACAACUUACAUAUAGUGUGUGUCCCUACGUUGUCAAGUUACUGUUCGUUUCCUACAAUUUUGUAUUCAGUAGUUUGCUUCCCAGGUCAUCUAAAAUCUGUUACCAUUGUUAUAUCCAGGAGAAUUUUUUGUGACAUUGUAUUAUCUAUUUUUCCAGUAGCAAAAUUAAUUCCAUGAAGAAAUGAGCAUUGAAUAGGAAACAGUAUAAGCAUUUUUACAACCCCGUCUUUAAAUUUUACUUGCAUUAUCUCACUAGUUUCUUGUUAAUUUAAAGGCUUUUCCAACACAGUCCUAACCCAUUACUAUUCUUCUAUCCAAUGCUGAAGAAACAAUGUAAGUACCACAAGACUUGAGCUACAGGGAACUUAAGACAAACUUGUUGUGUGGAGAGGCCGGUCCUAGGAGGUGCGGGAGACUGGUUGACCGUCACUUCCCAAACAGCGACAACCCAAGAAAGGAAAGUUAAGUCUCCUAUAGCAAGCUAGAGACACCCAGAGCAUAGCAAGGCUCCUCAAAGUGCUCACACAUUAUAAAGACUUUCCGUAUAGUAAAAAAAUUAAGAACUAAUCUGUAUAAAAUAAAGAACUAAUCUCUAUAGUAAAAAAAUUAAAGAACUAAUCUGUAUAGUAAAUUAAAGAACUAAUCUACAGUAAAAAAAUUAAAGAACUAAUUCGUAUAUUAAAAAAUUAAAGAACUGAUUCGUAUAGUAAGAAAUUAAAUAACUAAUCCAUAUUAAGUCACAGGAGAACUACUCACAAAUAUAUAAGAUUGAUUCAAAUUGCAAAAGAUCUAAACAACUUCAUAUGACUUACAUUUGUGAGUUAAAAUAUCUUAGCAUUAAAUUUAAAUUGCAAAUGAGCCCUCAGAACCAAAACUGUAUUAGACUCAAGUGACUUCUGUAACUGUUUAAUGGACUAUCAAGUGUAAUUUUAGAAAGUCCUUUACGUUGAGCUAUGAAUAUUAAGUCCUAUCUGUGUGGACCAUUUGAGGAGCCCCAUGCCAUUAACCCAGUAGCAGCAACAGGCCAAAUUUGUGCCAUGAUUUAACCACCCCAAAAUAGAUAAUACAUAAAAUGAUCACAAAUGCUUUGAUAUAUAUUAUGAAAUGGUUUGUGUGAGUGAUGAUUUUUUCUCGCUUAGAGGUACCAUUAAGAAACACGAUCCUCGCUGCUACCGGGUUAACCUCUCAAGUGAGCAGAGACCUUGGUGUGUGUGUAGAUCUUCAGCCUCCUCUUCAUUACGUUGGUCUUCUCAGUCCUGUAAGUAGUUGUGGUAUCCAGUGUUGGGGUGUCUAGUUCAGUCCUUGCCUUGGUUGCAGUGGUGGUGGUUGUUUUCAGGUGUGAGCAGAGACCUUGGUGUGUGUAUAGGUCUUCAGCCUCCUCUUCAUUACGUUGGUCUUCUCAGUCCUGUAAGUAGUUGUGGUAUCCAGUGUUGGGGUGUCUAGUUCAGUCCUUGCCUUGGUUGCAGUGGUGGUGGUUGUUUUCAGGUGUGAGCAGAGACCUUGGUGUGUGUGUAGGUCUUCAGCCUCCUCUUCAUUACGUUGAUCUUCUCAGUCCUGUAAGUAGUUGUGGUAUCCAGUGUUGGGGUGUCUAGUUCAGUCCUUGCCUUGGUUGCAGUGGUAGUGGUUUUCAAGUCUGCUUACAUUCAUGGUAGUCAGGCUUACUAAGGUCUUGUUCCUCCUCAAAGCUGUGGUUCCUCCUCUCUCUUCACUUCUUCAGUCUUGCCUUGCCUUGGCUUGGCCUGAAAAAGAGAGCGAGUUAGUUCUAUAUAGACUAAGGAUUAACCACCAGCAAACCUCACACUUGUUAUUUCUCUGUACUCACUUUUGGGGACAUGGCUUGUAACAUUGAUUUAUCUAGGCUCAUUAACUAUCCAUCAUUAACUUACCUAGGCCUAUUAACAUGAUUUCUUGUCCUGUCAAAGUCUACUGCCAUAAAGAAAAUAAAGUUUGAUGCACA